CUAUUGCAGGCAGCAAAGCAGCGUUGGAUCCCAGCCACAAUACUUCUGCAACCAGGUGUGAAUGAGCCUGAUGGGAUAUGAUUAUGGAACCUACACUGAAAAAGGCUGCUAUUUUGAGCUAAAACCUCAGUACCCACAGAGGGCUCCAUGACCCAUCCGCCGACUGCUGAGCUUGCUAUGAGGCUAACUGCAACUCUGAGCCCGGUUUUCCCUCCCAUCUGGCAGUGAAAAUGAACUGCUGCUGACUGAAUGACCACUGAUUCUCUUGGAAGCAGAGCUCUGCUAAGAGCAACAGCCA
rnacentral:lncRNA from 1 species